GUGCUCGCUUCAGCAUCACAUAUACUAAAAUUGGAACAAUAUAGAGAUUAGCAUGGCCCCUGUGCAAAGAUGACUUGCAAAUUCGUGAAGCAUUUCAUAUUUUU